GACGAGGGGUCCAAGCGUUGUUCGGAAUUACUGGGCGUAAAGCGUGCGCAGGCGGUUGUGCAAGACAGAUGUGAAAUCCCCGGGCUCAACCUGGGAACUGCAUUUGUGACUGCACGGCUGGAGUGCGGCAGAGGGGGAUGGAAUUCCGCGUGUAGCAGUGAAAUGCGUAGAUAUGCGGAGGAACACCGAUGGCGAAGGCAAUCCCCUGGGCCUGCACUGACGCUCAUGCACGAAAGCGUGGGGAGCAAACAGG
rnacentral:rRNA from 1 species